rnacentral:rRNA from 1 species
AUGGAGGCGUGGGAGAUCGCCCAUACGCGGAAGGACUCCAAGCCUGGCGAGCCCAAGUACUACGGCAAGAAGACCGCGCAGAGGAAGAAGGCCUACUCCGAUGGGUAUCUGAUGUUACAUCCUGACACACCUGACCCCAUUGCGGCGGAUCUGGACGAGAGGGUAGUGGUGGGCAUGGGUCCCAAGGAGCACGGCCGGGAGGCGGUUCUCAUUGCUGUGAUCACUCCUACUAUCUCCUACACACAGCUUCGUCGGAUUGACCCGAGUCUGAGCCAGCGCACGAGCACGCCCAUGACCAGUGCACAGUCACAAUCCCUCUUUCAGGAGCGGCAAUCUGCCUACAUGGAGUACACACGCUAG